rnacentral:rRNA from 1 species
GACGAACGCUGGCGGCGUGCCUAAUACAUGCAAGUUGAGCGAUGAAGAUUGGUGCUUGCACCAAGUUGAAGAGCAGCGAACGGGUGAGUAACGCGUGGGGAAUCUGCCUUUGAGCGGGGGACAACAUUUGGAAACGAAUGCUAAUACCGCAUAACAACUUUAAACAUAAGUUUUAAGUUUGAAAGAUGCAAUUGCAUCACUCAAAGAUGAUCCCGCGUUGUAUUAGCUAGUUGGUGAGGUAAAGGCUCACCAAGGCGAUGAUACAUAGCCGACCUGAGAGGGUGAUCAGCCACAUUGGGAGUGAGACACGGCACAAACGCAUACGGGAGGCAGCCGUAGGGAAUCUUCGGCAAUGGACGAAAGUCUGACCGCGAAACGCCGCGUGAGUGAAGAACGUUUCCGGAUCGUAAAACUCUGUUGGUAGAGAAGAACGUUGGUGAGAGUGGAAAGCUCAUCAAGUGACGGUAACUACCCAGAAAGGGACGGCUAACUACGUG